rnacentral:rRNA from 1 species
UGUAUAAUGGGUCAGCGACUUAUAUUCUGUAGCAAGGUUAACCGAAUAGGGGAGCCGAAGGGAAACCGAGUCUUAACUGGGCGUUAAGUUGCAGGGUAUAGACCCGAAACCCGGUGAUCUAGCCAUGGGCAGGUUGAAGGUUGGGUAACACUAACUGGAGGACCGAACCGACUAAUGUUGAAAAAUUAGCGGAUGACUUGUGGCUGGGGGUGAAAGGCCAAUCAAACCGGGAGAUAGCUGGUUCUCCCCGAAAGCUAUUUAGGUAGCGCCUCGUGAAUUCAUCUCCGGGGGUAGAGCACUGUUUCGGCAAGGGGGUCAUCCCGACUUACCAACCCGAUGCAAACUGCGAAUACCGGAGAAUGUUAUCACGGGAGACACACGGCGGGUGCUAACGUCCGUCGUGAAGAGGGAAACAACCCAGACCGCCAGCUAAGGUCCCAAAGUCAUGGUUAAGUGGGAAACGAUGUGGGAAGGCCCAGACAGCCAGGAUGUUGGCUUAGAAGCAGCCAUCAUUUAAAGAAAGCGUAAUAGCUCACUGGUCGAGUCGGCCUGCGCGGAAGAUGUAACGGGGCUAAACCAUGCACCGAAGCUGCGGCAGCGACGCUUAUGCGUUGUUGGGUAGGGGAGCGUUCUGUAAGCCUGCGAAGGUGUGCUGUGAGG